rnacentral:rRNA from 1 species
GCUACAAUGGCCGGUACAAAGGGUUGCUACACANCGAUGUGAUGCUAAUCUCUNNAAGCCGGUCUCAGUUCGGAUCGGAGUCUNCAACUCGACUCCGUGAAGUUGGAUUCGCUAGUAAUCNCAUAUCAGCAAUGAUGCGGUGAAUACGUUCCCGGGCCUUGUACACACCGCCCGUCAAGCCAUGGAAGUUGGGUGAACCUAAAGUCGAUAACCGCAAGGAGUCGCCUAGGGUUAAACCGAUAACUAGGGCUAAGUCGUAACAAGGUAUCC